CCUACGGGAGGCAGCAGUAGGGAAUAUUGCUCAAUGGGGGAAACCCUGAAGCAGCAACGCCGCGUGGAGGAUGAAGGUUUUAGGAUUGUAAACUCCUUUUGUUAGAGAAGAUUAUGACGGUAUCUAACGAAUAAGCACCGGCUAACUCCGUGCCAGCAGCCGCGGUAAUACGGAGGGUGCGAGCGUUACUCGGAAUCACUGGGCGUAAAGAGUGCGUAGGCUGGGUAAUAAGUCAGAUGUGAAAUCCUGUAGCUUAACUAUAGAACUAUAUUUGAAACUGUUAAGCUGGAGUGUGGGAGAGGUAAGUGGAAUUCUUAGUGUAGGGGUAAAAUCCGUAGAGAUUAAGAGGAAUACUCAUAGCGUAGGCGAGCUGCUGGAACAUUACUGACACUGAGGCACGAAAGCGUAGGGAGCAAACGGGAUUAGAUACCCCUGUAGUC
rnacentral:rRNA from 1 species